CCUACGGGUGGCAGCAGUGGGGAAUUUUGGACAAUGGGCGCAAGCCUGAUCCAGCUAUUCCGCGUGUGGGAAGACGGCCUUCGGGUUGUAAACCACUUUUGUAGAGAACGAAAAGUCUGUUGAUAAUACCGAUAGAUGAUGACGGUACUCUAAGAAUAAGCACCGGCUAACUACGUGCCAGCAGCCGCGGUAAUACGUAGGGUGCGAGCGUUAAUCGGAAUUACUGGGCGUAAAGGGUGUGCAGGCGGUUUUGCAAGAUGAAUGUGAAAGCCCCGGGCUUAACCUGGGAAAGCCAUACAUUACUGCAAGACUAGAGUGCGUCAGAGGGGAGUGGAAUUCCAAGUGUAGCAGUGAAAUGCGUAGAUAUUUGGAAGAACACCGAUGGCGAAGGCAGCCCCCUGGGACGCAACUGACGCUCAUACACGAAAGCGUGGGGAGCAAACAGGAUUAGAUACCCUUGUAGUC
rnacentral:rRNA from 1 species